rnacentral:snRNA from 1 species
GAGCUUGCUUCAUCAGCACAUAUAUGAAAAUUGAAAGACUAUAGAGAAGAUUACCGCGGUCCGUGCCCAAGGAUGACAUGAAAAUUUAUGAAGCAUUCCAUAUUCUG